rnacentral:rRNA from 1 species
GAGUUUGAUCCUGGCUCAGAACGUACGCUGGCGGCACGCCUUAUACAUGCAAGUCGAACGAAGUAGCAAUACUUAGUGGCAGACGGGUGAGUAACAUGUAGGUAUCUGCCCUUUGGCCUGGAAUAACACGAGGAAACUUGUGCUAAUACCGGAUAAGUCUUUACGGAGAAAGCUUUAUGCACCAUUGGAUGAGCCUGCACUUGAUUAGUUUGUUGGUGGGGUAAUGGCCUACCAAGACUAUGAUCAAUAGCUGAUUUGAGAGGAUGAUCAGCCACAUUGGAACUGAGACACGGUCCAAACUCCUACGGGAGGCAGCAGUAACGAAUCUUGCACAAUGGAGGAAACUCUGAUGCAGCGAUGCCGCGUGAGUGAAGAAGGCCCUUGGGUUGUAAAGCUCUUUCGUCGGGGAAGAAAAUGACUGUACCCGAAUAAGAAGGUCCGGCUAACUUCGUGCCAGCAGCCGCGGUAAUACGAAGGGACCUAGCGUAGUUCGGAAUUACUGGGCUUAAAGAGUUCGUAGGUGGUUGAAAAAGCUAGUGGUGAAAUCCCAGAGCUUAACUCUGGAACUGCCAUUAAAACUUUUCAGCUAGAGUAUGAUAGAGGAAAGCAGAAUUUCUAGUGUAGAGGUGAAAUUCGUAGAUAUUAGAAAGAAUACCAAUUGCGAAGGCAGCUUUCUGGAUCAUUACUGACACUGAGGAACGAAAGCAUGGGUAGCGAAGAGGAUUAGAUACCCUCGUAGUCCAUGCCGUAAACGAUGUGUGUUAGACGUUGGAAAUUUAUUUUCAGUGUCGCAGGGAAACCGAUAAACACACCGCCUGGGGAGUACGACCGCAAGGUUAAAACUCAAAUGAAUUGACGGGGACCCGCACAAGUAGUGGAGCAUGUGGUUUAAUUCGAAGAUACGCGCAGAACCUUACCAACACUUGACAUGUUCGUCGCGACUCUAAGAGAUUAGAGUUUUCGGUUCGGCCGGACGAAACACAGGUGCUGCAUGGCUGUCGUCAGCUCGUGUCGUGAGAUGUUGGGUUAAGUCCCGCAACGAGCGCAACCCUCACUUUUAGUUGCCAUCAUUAAGUUGGGCACUCUGAAAGAACUGCCAGUGAUAAGCUGGAGGAAGGUGGGGAUGACGUCAAGUCCUCAUGGCCCUUACGUGUUGGGCUACACACGUGCUACAAUGGUAUCUACAACAGGAAGCAAGACUGCGAAGUUAAGCAAAUCCCUAAAAGAUACCUCAGUUCGGAUUGCACCCUGCAACUCGAGUGCAUGAAGCUGGAAUUACUAGUAAUCGUGGAUCAGCGUGCCACGGUGAAUGCGUUCCCGGGUCUUGUAGACACCGCCCGUCACACCAUGGGAGUUGGUUCUACCUUAAGGCAAGGUUUAAAACCCUUGACCACGGUAUAGUCAGCGACUGGGGUGAAGUCGUAACAAGGUAACC